AGCAGUAGCCGCGGUAAUACGAAGGGUGCUAGCGUUAAUCGGAAUUACUGGCGUAAAGCGUGCGUAGGCGGUGAGUUAAGUCUGCUGUGAAAUCCCCGGGCUCAACCUGGGAAUGGCAGUGGAUACUGGCUCGCUAGAGUGUGUCAGAGGAUGGUGGAAUUCCCGGUGUAGCGGUGAAAUGCGUAGAGAUCGGGAGGAACAUCAGUGGCGAAGGCGGCCAUCUGGGACAACACUGACGCUGAGGCACGAAAGCGUGGGGAGCAAACAGGAUUAGAUACCCGAGUAGUCCCUGUCUCUUAUACA
rnacentral:rRNA from 1 species